AUACGUAUAUAUGUAUAUGUGUGUGUAUAUAUGUGUAUAUAUAUGUGUGUGUGUGCGUGUGUGUAUAUAUAUAUAUAUAUAUAUAUAUAUAUAUAUACAUAUAUAUGUAUAAAUUUUCCUUUUUUUAAAAGUAGGCUCCAUGCCCAACGUGGGGCUUAAACUCACGACCCUGAGCUUAAGUGUCACAUGCCCUACUGACUGAGCCACCCAGGCUCCCUGAUGUUGAAUGAUUCCAUGGUCUGGCAGGGAACUGGAACCCAUCCCCCCAGGGAUAAGUAGGAAUCAUGCCUGGUCUGUUUGAUGGGGAGAGUUGUUUGUCUAGGGGAUUAACCCAUGGGAACAGAGUGGGGAGGGGAGCCUGUGGUCAGGCCGUUGUGGUUCACCUGGUUUCCCUAGAUAUUAGGAAGCACACGAUACUGGGCCUUUAUUGUAGGCCUUGCACCGCAUGAGCAAAUGGAAAUAUGGCAAGUUUCAGAAAAGAAAGAAAAGGGCUGAAAAGUACAUUAGCCAAAAAUAGGAAGCACCCUGGAUGGACUGAAUACAAGGUAGAGGCGACAGAAGAAAAAGAGCAUGAACUUGAAGAUGGCUCAGUAGGAAGUAUUUCGUCUGAGUAUCAGAGAAACGAAGAAGCCUUGUCUGUACGAACUGAACCUCAGGAACCUAUAGGAUAGUACUGAGGUGUUUAACACUUGUGUCACAAGGAGUCUGAAAGGAAAGGAGAAACUGUGGUUCAGAAGAAAAAUGUUUAAAGAAAUAAUGGCUGAAGACUUCGUAAAUUUGCUGAGACAUAAACAAGGAUUUAAGAAGUGCCUGAACCCACUCAAGAUAAGCCGCAAGAGAUCCCUGACCAGACACAUUCAUAAGCCACUUAAAACCACCGACCAAAAACCAACCGACCCACAAAAAAUACCCUGGAAAGUCAGAGGAAAAUGACACAUUAUUUAUAGGGAACCAGUGAUUUGAAUGAACUAGAUUUCUCAUCAGAACAAUGCAGUCCAGAAGUCAGUGGAACAGCAUCACUGAAGUGCUGGAAGGAAGGAAUUGUCAACCCAGAAUUCUGUAUUUGGAGAAAAUGCCCUUUAAGAAUGAAGGUGAGGGUGCCUGGGUGGCUCAGUCAGUUAAGCAUCUGACUCUUGAUUUCGGCUCAGGUCAUGAUCCCACAGAUUGGUGAGUUUGAGGCCCACAUCGGGCUCUGUGCUGGCAACGCGGAGCCUGCCUGUGGUUCUCUUUCCCUCUCUCUCUGCCCCUCCCCCACACUGUCUCUCUCUCUCUCUCUCUCUCUCUCUCUCUCUCUCUCUAAUACAUAAAUAAACAGUAAAAAAAAAAAAAAAAACAACUGGGGUGCCUAAGUGGCUCAGUCAGUUGAGCAUCGGACUUCGGCUCAGGUCAUGAUCUCACACUUCGUGGGUUUGAGCCCAGCGUCAGGCUCUGUGCUGACAGCUCGGAGCCUGGAGCCUGCUUCAGAUUCCGUGUCUCCCUCUCUCUCUGCCCCUCCCCCACUUGUGUUCUGUCUCUCUCUCUCUCUUUCAAGAAUAAAUAAACAUUAAAAAAAAUUUUUUUUAAAUACAAAAAAACCCUGAAUUUGCUUUUCACCAAACACUCAUUCUGGUGACUAGUUUUUAAAGCUGUAAUGCCCGUAAAGUGGAAUAGAAGGUGUGGAGCAUUCAGGCACCCUCCGUGCAUGUCCCUGAGCAGGCGGUAGAGUCCGAUUAUAUUCUUUUCACUUACACCCACUUUUAUCCACUCAGCAGCGGUGCUCAUGGUUGAAUGGCUGAUGAGCAGCUGUCCCUGCCUGUAGGCAGAGUCGUAGUUCAAGGGAGAAGCCCUGGGCUGAGCGUCUUUGGGCUCGAACCCCACCUCCCUCACUGCAUUGUGUUUCAUUAGGCACGUUUCUUUUUGAACGUUGUUUCUCAGUUUCUUCUGUUGUGGAAUGAAGGUGAUGAUGUCUGUACCGCGCGGCCGCGGAGAGAACAGAUACCUUUAGCAGCUCUACGUCAUAAUCGGUGUACAAUAUACUGCAUGUGUUUCUAGCAAGAAAACUUGGUAAGCUUUGACGUGUGGACACCUGUGGAACCAUAAACAGCCAGGAUGAUGAAUACAUCUAUAGCUCUAUCACCCCCUAAAGUUUCUUCGCGCAGCCACUGACCCACUGUCUGUCACUACAGGUCAAUUUUCAUUUUCUGGAAUCCUGCAGAAAUGUUAUAUGCUAUGUAAUCUUUGCUUGCUUUUUAUAUUCAGCGUAAUUAUUUUGCUAUCUAUCGUUUUGUAGUGAGUUCCAGUACUUAAUUCCUUCUUAUUGCUGAAUGAUACUGCAGUGGCUGGAUGUACCACAGUUUGCUAAGCUGUUCACGUGGGUAGACACUUGGAGUAUUUCCAGCUCGGGGGGUCUUAUCAGUACAGCCACUGUGCAUGUUUGCGUCGCAGCUUGUGUGGGCAUAUGCUUCCAGCUACCUUGGGUAAGUGCUUACGAGCGGAAUGGCUUUAUAUGAUAAGUGCCUGUUUCCGUUGUUACUGCGUGACCAGCACCUCUGAGAAUUCCCACCAGCGGUAAUGAGAGUUCUCUUUUCUUCUGCGUCCUCACCGAGGCUUGGCGUGGGCUUGUUGUGGAUGUCGUUUCCCUGGUGUCUCAUGAUGUUGAGCAUCUUUUCAUGUGCUUACUUGCCAUCUAGCUCUGUCUCUUUUUUGGGGAUGUAUGUGUACAAAUCCUUUACCCAUUUUUUAAAAAGUUUGAGACAGAGAGAGAGAGAGAGAGAGAGAUAGCGAGUGAGCGAGUGGGGGAGGGGCAGAGAGAGAGGGGGGAGAGAGAGAAUCUCAAGCAAGCAGGCUCCGCACUGUCAGCGAACCAUGAGAUCAUGACCUGAGCUGAAACCAAGAGUCAGACGCUAAACCGACUGAGCUACCCAGGCGUCCCUGGAGCUUUUACCCGUUUUUAAUUGGGUCAUUUUUUACUGGGGUUUAAAUUAUUACUGUGUUUUCUUCGUAGUGUUACAGAUACGAGUCCUUUAUCCAGUAGAUGCUUUGCAAAUAUUUUUUUCCAUCUGUGAGUUGACUUUUUAGUCUCUUAGCAGGGCUUUCGAAGAACAGUAGAAUUUAAUUUUGAUAAGUUCAGUUUAUCGACUUUUCCUUUCAUGGUUUGUGAUUUUGGUGGUGUGUCAAUGAAAUCUUUCCCUAAACCAAAGUCACAGAUGGUUUUCUUCUGUUUCGUUCUAGAACUUCUAUAGUUUUGGUUUACAGUUAGACAUAUGAUCCGUUUUCAGUCAGUUUUUGCGUAUGGUGUGAAGUAUGGACUGAUAGACGUCUGGUUACUCCAGCAGGAUUUGUUGAAAAGAACGUCCUUUUCCUCUGAUUUGCCUUUGCACCUUUGUCAAAGGUGAGAAGUCCGCUCUGUGUAUGUUUCUUUCUGGGCUCUUUUCAGUUCUCUUACUCUAUUUGUCUAUCUUGGUACCAAUUCCGUACUAUCUUGAUUACUGUAGCAUUAAAAUAAAUCUUAAAAAUAGGUAUUUUUAGUCCCCUUCUUAGUCAAAGUUGUUUUGCCUAAUCUAGAUCCUUUGCAUUUCCAUAUGAAUCAGCAGGCCAAUUUCUAGAAAAAGAUCCUGCUGGGACUUUUGGGUUAACAUGGUAUUCGAUUUAUAGGUUAAUUUGUAGAGAUUUGACCUUGGCUUUAUUGUCUCCUCAGACCCAUGAAUACCAUCUAACUAUUUCCUUAGGUUGUUAAUUUUUCUUACCAGACUUUAUGUUCUGUUGUUUGGCAGAACAUUCUGUAAAUGUGAAUGAACUAUAAUUGUGAAUUUUUCUGUUUCUCUUUUCAGUUCCAUUAGUAUUUGCUUCAAGUAUUUUGAGACUCUGUUACUAAGUUUGGAAAUAUUUAGUUUUGUCAUGUCUUAUGAUGGAUUGCUCUCUAUAUUAUCUUAAAAUAAUCCUUUUUAUCCCUGGCAAUAUGUUUUGUUGUGAAUUGGACCGUGCCUGGUAUUUAUGUAACUACUCCAGUUUACUUUGGUUUGGUGUCGGCCUAAUCUGUCCUUUCCUGUCUUUUUAUUCAUAAGCAUUUAUGUCUUUUUACUUAAAAUGCAUUCCUGGUAGGCAGCAUAUUGUGGGGUCCUGCUUUUCCGUCCAUCACAAUGACUGUCUUCAGUUGGAAUAUUCAGACUGUUUACUUUUAAUAUGAUUAUUGAUACUGUUCUACACAAAUCUCUCAUAUUCUGGGCACCUGGGCGGCUCAGUCGGUUGAGUAUCUGACUCCGGCUCCAGUCAUAUCUCAUGGUUCUUGAGUUCAAGCCCCAUAUCGGGCUGUCUGCGGUCAGCACAGAGCCUGCUUCGAAUUCUGCCUCCCUCUCUCUCUCUCUCUGCCCCUCCCCCGCUCGUUCUCUUUCUCUCUCUCUCUCUCAAAUAAACAUUAAAAAAAAUCUUUCUCAUUUUCUUACUUGUUUUCUGUUUCUUGUUUUUGUUCCCCUUUGUUUCUUUUUCUUGGCCAUUGUUUGGAAUUGAGUGGGUUUUUUUUUUAUUCUAUUUCAUGUCCUUUAUUGACUUAUUCACUAUUAUUCUUUAUUUUUUUUCAUUGAUUGCUUUAGGACAGGUACUGUAUAUCUUCCAUUAGGACAGUCUACCAUCCAUCCCAUGAAUAAAACAUCUCAUAUACAAGAAUGCAGUAGUAAGUACUUUUAUUGUUUUCCUCUGCUCUUUGUGCCUUCGUUGUUAUGCACUUAAACUUUUACAUAUGCUUUCACCCCACGCUUCAUGAUUAAUUUUGUUAAAAAAAAUCAAUUAUUCUUAAAAGAGAUUUAAGUAAUCAGGAAAAUGUCACGUAUUUACUCCUGUGGUUGUUUCCUCUCCCGAUUCUUCCUUUGUGUAGACACAUACUUGAAUUUAUUACCAAUAUCCAUCUUCCCGUAACAGUUCUGUGUGCAUGGCAGCAGCUGCUGCUGGGCUCCUUCGGCUUUGGGAGAUCUAUCAAAGUCUUUCGCUCUGUAUUUGGAAAUGUUUUGGGUGCAGAGUUCCAGGUUGGUAAUAUUUUUAUCUCUCCGUAUGUGAGCGAUGUCGCAACACCACCCACCGUCUUAGCUGAAGUUGUUUUCUUGACGGGAAUCUGCCGUCAUCCUUUUCUUUGUUCUUUUGAAACAGUGUGUUUCUUUGCUAGACCUCCCUUAUGAUUUUUCUCCUUAUCCCUGGUUGUGGGCAACUUGAAUUAUGGCGUGCCUUCGAAUAGUUUUCGUCGUGGUCCUUUUGCUCGGCCUCAAACUCCUCGACCCUCUCCCCCUUUUAGGUGGGUCUUUCCCGAGUUUCUUCACACGUGUAGUGCUCAGUACUCCCGUGAACACUCAGGAGGGACCCCCUCCAGAUUUCUAGAGUCUGCGCCCCAUCCUGCACACUAGUUACCUGUGUCCCCCUGGGCUCACGGCUCCUCUUUAACUGAGAGGGCGCUGGGCUGGCUUGGGGUCCACCUCUCUGCUCCGCGUCCUGGCAGCUCUUUCUGGACCAUACGCUUGUGCAGGAGUCGGGCUCACCUUGCUUGGUCUUGAGUCAUCACUGUCCCAUGUUGCCUCAUGUCCAGCGUCCUCAAUACUGAGUUUCGGGUGUAUCAGGCAGAAGGUAAAUCCAGUCUCUGCUACCCUAUGGCCGGAAGUGGAAGAGCCAUGAUUUCGUGAAUGAAUACGUAAGCAUGCGUCCACUCAUUGUAUUACUUACUAUUUAAUCUUUCAUUGAUUAGAUAAAUAAUACUAGUUUCAGGGGUACAACGUUAUGAUUCUUUGUAUGUAUAUGUUGUAAAAUGGUCACCACAGUACGUACAGUUAGCAUCUGCUACCACAGAGUCACAAAAUAUUUUUUCUUCUGGCGGGAGCUUUUAUGAUUUACUUGUAGCAACUUUUAAGUGGUCAGCACAGUAUUAUUAACUGCAGUCACCCUGAAGUUGGUUAUAUCCUCAGAGCUUAUUCAUUUUGUAGUUGGGAGUUUGUACCUUUGACCGUCUCCGCCCUUUACUCCCAGUCCCCACCCUCACUUCUGGCAACCACCAGUCUGUUUUCUGUAUUUAUGAUUUUGUGGUUUUUUUCUUUUUUCAAGUUUCUUCAUAUAAGUGAGAUCAUCCGCUGUUUGUCUUCCUUGGUCUGACAUGUUUUACCUAGCAUAGUGCCCUCAGGGUCCGUCCGCAUUGUGGCAGAUAGCAGGAUCUCCUCCUGUUUAUGGUUACAGAAUAUUCCAUCCAGGGCUUCAUUAUCCAUUCAUCCCUCAGUGGGCGCGUCGGUUGCUGGCUUGUCUUGGCUGCUGUAGUCAAUGCUGCCAAUGGACGUGAGCGUGUGUGUUUCUUCUCGAGACGGUGUUUUCAUUUCCUGCGGAGAAGAACCCAGAGUGGAGUUGCUAGGCCGCAGGGGUAGUUCUGUUGUGACGCUCCUGAGAAACCUCCGUUGUGUUUUCCGCGGUGGCUGGACCACUUCACAUUCCCACCAGCCGUGCACCGGGGCUCCCUCGUCCCCACUCCCCCGCCGGCACUUGUCAUGUCCCGGCCUGUUGACACUAGCCGUUCUGACCCGUGUAUUGUGACACCUCAUCGUGGCUUUCAUUUGCAGUCCCCUCAUGACGAGUGAUGUUGCGUGUGUGACCUUUGUGUGACCUGUUGGCCAUCUGUCUGUCUUGCUUGCAAAAAUGUCUGUUCAGAACCUCGGUUCAUUUUGUAAUCUGUUCUUUUGGUGUUGAGUUGGGUGGAUUCUGUAUAUAUUUUGGGCUAUUAGUCCCUUAUCAGUUCCAUGAUUUUCAAAUAUUUUCUUCUAUUCUGUAGGUUGUCUUUUCAUUUUGUUGAUGGUUUCCUUUGCCAUGCAGAAGAUUUAGUUUUUUACUUUUUAUCUUUUGAGAAGAGAGCAUGCACGCAUGCUAGUUGCGGAGAGAGGUAGAGGGAGAGAGAGGGAGAGAAUCUCGAGCAGGCUCCACACUCAGCCGACGCGGGGCUCGAUCCCAUGACUGUGAGGCCAUGACCUGAGCUGAAAUUAAGAUGCUUGAUCCACUGAGCCACCCAGGCGCCCCCGAAGAUUUAGUUUGAUGUAGUUAUGCUGUUUAGUGUUGCUGUUGUUAACUUUGCUUUUCGUGUCAAAUCCAAAAGUCACCGUGGAGACCAUUGUGAAGAAGCUUACAGCCUGUGUUUUUCCUUUAAAAAAUUUAUGUUUAUAUAUAUUCUCUUCACGUCUUUAAUCCAUUUUGUCUCGAUUGCGUGUAUGGUGUAAGAAACUAGUAUAUUCUUUUGCAUACGGGUGGUCAGUUUUCCCAGCACCAUUCAUUGCGAAGAGACUGUGCUUUCCCCAUUGCAUAUUCUUGGCUCCUUUGUCGAAUUAAUCGACCAUAUAUGCAUAGGUUUAUUUCUGGGCUUUCUGUUCUAUUCUGUUGCCGUAUAGGUCUUUUUAUGCCCAAACCAUACUGUUUUGAUUACUAAAGGUUUGUAAGAAAAUGUGGAAUCAGGAAACAUGAUGCUUCCAGCUUGGUUCUUCUUUCUCAGCAUUGGUUGGGCUAUUUGGGGUCUUCAGUGGUUUCGUCAAAUUUUGCGAGUCUUUGUACUACUUCUGUGAAAAAUGCCCUUGGAAUUUUGACAGGGGUUACAUUGGAUCUGUAGAUUCCUUUGGGUAACAUGGCCAUCUUCACAGUGUUGUUGCUUUGAGUCCAUGAGCAAGAGUAUCUUUGUAUCUGUUCUGUGUCUUCAGUCCCUUUACUCACGUCAGAUACUUUUUAGUGGACGGGUCUUUCACCUCUUUGGUUGGAUUUAUUCCAAGUAUUUUAUUCUUUUGGAUCCAAUUAUAAAUGGAUCGUUUUCUUAAUUUCUCUUUCUGAUAGUUGUUGUUGUGCAGACAUGCAGCUGAUUUUUGUACAUUGCUUUUAUAUCCUGCAACUUCCCGGAAUUCAUUUAUUAGUUCUAACAUUUCUAUGGUGGAUUACUUAUGAUAUUUCAUAUGCAAUAUAUCAUGUGUAAAUAGUGACAGUUUUAUUAGUUCUUUUUUUCUUUGUUUUCUUUCUUCUAGAUUUGGAUGCAUUUUAGCUUUCUUCCUUUAAUUGCUCCAGUUAGGACUUCCAGUACCGUAUAGCAAGAGGUGACGUGUUUCUGAACGAGGCAAAUGUUGUCUUGUUUCUGAACGUAAAGGGAAAAUUUUCAGUGUUCCACCAUUGAGUAUGGUGUAUCUGUGUAUAUGACCUUUCUUAAGUCAUGUUUCCUUUAUACCCACUUUGUUUAGAGUUUUUAUCUUGAACGAAGGUUGAAUUUUGUGAUGUGCUUUUUCUGCAUCUGCUGUGUGAUUUUUAUCCUUCAUUUUGUUAAUGUGGUGUAUUGUACAGUUUUGUGGCUGUUGAACCGUUCUUGUGUGCCUAGAAUGCAGCCCACUUGAUCAUGGUGAACGUCCUUUUAAUGUGUUGUUGGAUUUGGUUUGGGUACAUUUUGUUGAAGAUUUUUGCAUCUGUGUUCAUCAGGGGUCCUGGCCUGCAGUUUGUUUUCUUUGUGAUGUCCUUGUCUGAUUUUGUUACCAGGAUGAUGCUGGCCUCAUCGAGUGGAGUUGGAAGUGUUCCUUUCUCUUUUAUUGUUUGGGAGAGUUUGGGAAGGAUUGGUAUUUUUUUAAAGUUCUUGUGUAAAUUCAAGUUACUUAACCUACAUAAUAUUAGUUUUAGUUUUAGGUGCACAAAAUAGUUAUCACCACUUUCAUGCAUCACCCAGGGCUGAUCACACGUGCCCUCCUUAAUCCCCUCCCCCAGCCACCUCCCCUCUGAUGACCAUAAGUUUCUUCUCUAGAGUUAAGAGUUCUCUUUCUUGGUUUGCCUGAGAAGGACUGGUAUUAAUGCUUCUUUAAAAGUUUGCUAGAAUUCACCAGUGAAGUCAAAUAGUCCUGGAUCUUUGUUUGUUUGUCUGUUAUUGAUGACUCAUUUAGUGUCCUUACUAGUAAUUAGUCUGUUCAGAUUUUCUGUUUCUUUAUUGGUUCAGUCUUGCCGGGUUGUAUGUUUCUAGAAAUUUAUCCAUUUCUUCUGGGUUGUGCAGUUUGUUGACUCAUAAUUUUUGGUAGUAGUCUCAUGAUAUUUGUAUUUCUGUGGCAUCUGUUAUAUCAUCUUCUCUUUCAUUUCUGAUGUCAUUUAUUUGAGCCCUCUCUUUUAUUUCUUGUGGGUCUCACUAAAGGUUUAUUUUCAUAAAACCAGCUCUCAGUUGCGUUGAUCUUUUCUAUUGUCUUUUUAAUUUUAGUCUCUAUUUCACUUAUUUUGACUCUGAUCUUUGUUAUUUCCUUCUUCUAACUUAGGGCUUGUUUGUUCUCUUGGUCCUUAAGAUUAGAUUGUUUAUUUGGCAUUUUACAUGUUUCUUGAGGUACAUUUAUUGCUAUAAACUUUUCUCUUAUAACGGAUUUUGCUGCAUCCCGUAGGUUUUGGUAUUUUUGUAUUUCUAUUUUCUUUGA